UCCCAGGUGGCUCAGUGGUAAAGAAUCUACCUGCAAAUGUAGCAGCUGCAAGAGACUCAGGUUCAAUUCCUGGCUUGAGAA
rnacentral:tRNA from 1 species